rnacentral:tRNA from 1 species
UCCCGCUUAGCUCAGUUGGUAGAGCGCGUCACUAGUACCAUCUGAUGGGCAAUGACGAGGUCAGUCGUUCGAGUCGGCUAGUGGGAA